rnacentral:rRNA from 1 species
AGUGGCGGACGGGUGAGUAACGCGUGAGAAUCUGCCUUGGGGUCGGGGACAACCACUGGAAACGGUGGCUAAUACCGGAUAAGCCGAUUGGUGAAAGAUUUAUUGCCCGAAGAGGAGCUCGCGUCUGAUUAGCUAGUUGGUGAGGUAAGAGCUCACCAAGGCAGCGAUCAGUAGCUGGUCUGAGAGGACGAUCAGCCACACUGGGACUGAGACACGGCCCAGACUCCUACGGGAGGCAGCAGUGGGGAAUUUUCCGCAAUGGGCGAAAGCCUGACGGAGCAAGACCGCGUGAGGGAGGAAGGCUCUUGGGUUGUAAACCUCUUUUCUCAGGGAAGAAGCUCUGACGGUACCUGAGGAAUCAGCCUCGGCUAACUCCGUGCCAGCAGCCGCGGUAAUACGGAGGAGGCAAGCGUUAUCCGGAAUUAUUGGGCGUAAAGCGUCCGCAGGUGGCGAUUCAAGUCUGCUGUCAAAGCACGGGGCUUAACUCCGUAAAGGCAGUGGAAACUGAAUAGCUAGAGUGCCGUAGGGGUAGAGGGAAUUCCCGGUGUAGCGGUAAAAUGCGUAGAGAUCGGGAAGAACAUCGGUGGCGAAAGCGCUCUACUGGACGGCAACUGACACUCAGGGACGAAAGCUAGGGGAGCGAAUGGGAUUAGAUACCCC